rnacentral:lncRNA from 1 species
AAUUUGCAUCAGAGGGGAUUUCGCGUCUUCAGAGACGACGAUGAGCUUCCAAGACGAAGAGAAGACUACAGGCUGGUUUGGUAUUGCUGUGCUUUGAAAAAAAACAGCUAUGAGAAUAAGCGUUUGUGCUGUGAAAAUAAGCAGCUGUGAAAUAAAUCAGCAGAGUGUUUGGUAAACUUUUUUGUAAAAAUGCUUUUGGAAAAAAAAACAGUCUGAUAGUGAGUCUUUUCAUUAAAGGAGCACUGUAGCUCCAUGUGCUUUGAAAAAAAACCAUUUUUCCAAAGCUGCAAAUAGCAGCUUCAGCUUUUUCCUUUGAUUUCAGCUUAUUCUCACAACAGCUUCCAAAAUAAGCCUUUUUUUUUUCAGUUUACC